CAGUAGCCGCGGGAAUACGUAGGGUGCAAGCGUUAAUCGGAUUUAUUGGGCGUAAAGCGAGCGCAGGCGGUUAGAUAAGUCUGAAGUUAAAGGCUGUGGCUUAACCAUAGUACGCUUUGGAAACUGUUUAACUUGAGUGCAAGAGGGGAGAGUGGAAUUCCAUGUGUAGCGGUGAAAUGCAUAGAUAUAUGGAGGAACACCGGUGGCGAAAGCGGCUCUCUGGCUUAUAACUGACGCUGAGGCUCGAAAGCGUGGGGAGCAAACAGGAUUAGAUACCCGCGUAGUCCCUGUCUCUUAUACA
rnacentral:rRNA from 1 species